GAUGAACGCUAGCGGCAGGCCUAAUACAUGCAAGUCGAACGAGAUUAAGAGGCUUGCUUCUUAUGAAAGUGGCGCACGGGUGCGUAACGCGUACGCAACCUACCUUAAUCAGGGGGAUAGCCCGAAGAAAUUCGGAUUAAGACCGCAUAAAAACACAGGAUAGCAUUAUCCAAUGUUCAAAUAUUUAUAGGAUUAAGAUGGGCAUGCGUGUCAUUAGCUAGUUGGCGGGGUAACGGCCCACCAAGGCGACGAUGACUAGGGGAUCUGAGAGGAUGACCCCCCACACUGGUACUGAGACACGGACCAGACUCCUACGGGAGGCAGCAGUAAGGAAUAUUGGUCAAUGGAGGGAACUCUGAACCAGCCAUGCCGCGUGCAGGAAGACAGCCCUCUGGGUCGUAAACUGCUUUUAUUCGGGAAUAAACCUUUCUACGUGUAGGAAGCUGAAUGUACCGAAGGAAUAAGGAUCGGCUAACUCCGUG
rnacentral:rRNA from 1 species